AUGGGGAGCCCAGCCUCCAGACAGUAUUGUCAGGGGCUGCUCCUGGGUCCCCGUCUUCACAGGGAGCCCGGCCUCCAGACAGCGGUGUCUGGGGGCUGCUCCUGGGUCCCCGUCUUCACAGGGAGCCCGGCCUCCAGACAGCAUUGUCGGGGGGCUGCUCCUGGGUCCCCGUCUUCACAGGGAGCCCGGCCUCCAGACAGCGGUGUCUGGGGGCUGCUCCUGGGUCCCCGUCUUCACAGGGAGCCCGGCCUCCAGACAGCGGUGUCGGGGGGCUGCUCCUGGGUCCCCGUCUUCACAGGGAGCCCGGCCUCCAGACAGCAUUGUCGGGGGGCUGCUCCUGGGUCCCCGUCUUCACAGGGAGCCCGGCCUCCAGACAGCGGUGUCUGGGGGCUGCUCCUGGGUCCCCGUCUUCACAGGGAGCCCGGCCUCCAGACAGCAGUGUCGGGGGGCUGCUCCUGGGUCCCCGUCUUCACAGGGAGCCCGGCCUCCAGACAGCAUUGUCGGGGGGCUGCUCCUGGGUCCCCGUCUUCACAGGGAGCCCGGCCUCCAGACAGCGGUGUCUGGGGGCUGCUCCUGGGUCCCCAUCUUCACAGGGAGCCCGGCCUCCAGACAGCAUUGUCGGGGGGCUGCUCCUGGGUCCCUGUCUUCACAGGGAGCCCGGCCUCCAGACAGCAUUGUCGGGGGGCUGCUCCUGGGUCCCCGUCUUCACAGGGAGCCCGGCCUCCAGACAGCGGUGUCUGGGGGCUGCUCCUGGGUCCCCGUCUUCACAGGGAGCCCGGCCUCCAGACAGCAUUGUCGGGGGGCUGCUCCUGGGUCCCCGUCUUCACAGGGAGCCUGGCCUCCCUGGGUGGGGAGUGCUCCAGGUCCACCCCUUCAUGGGGAGCCUGGUGGUAUCGGGGGGUGCUCCUAGGUCCAUUGAGUCUCGAGCUGUUGCCAGAGGCCACAUGGGCUGACGCCACAGGGUCACCAGGUGGGACUCAUUCUGCUGCAGGUGCCCCUGUGGCUCCAGGGGGAGGGCAGACUCCUGGACUCGGGACACACAGAACCAGGCCUGGGUAUCUGCCCGAUGCAGGGAGCUGUGGGGCCUGGACUUCUGCUUGUCCCCUGCCCCAGGCCUGGCGCCUCGCUCUGUGCACAGGCCCCAUACCGCCCGCUGCUGGUCUGCAGGGCUGGGGAGCUGGCUGGACCACCCACACUGGAGGGCAGGAAGGGGUGGAGGCUGCCGGACCUGGCUCCGGCCUCACGGCCCCGCCCGCCUGUCAGCUGCUUCCGGCUCGGAGUCUAGGAAGCGCCCUUUGA
rnacentral:lncRNA from 13 species